rnacentral:lncRNA from 10 species
GCCAAGAUGGCCGAAUAGGAACAGCUCCAGUCUACAGCUCCCAGCUUGAGCGAAGCAGAAGACGGGUGAUUUCUGCAUUUCCAUCUGAGACUCCAACGGAAACAUCAGCUCUUCUUGGGUUUCAAGUUUGCUGGCUUUCAGAAUGGAACUUAUACCACUGGCUCUCCUGAUUCCCAGGCCUUUGGACUCAGACAGGAGUCACACCAUCAACUCUCCCAGGUCUCCAGCCUGUCAACUGCAGAAGGAAGGCUACUCUAGACCCAGUACCUAUUAUAAUGACCAGUAGAUAACAGACAGCCAGUCAAUGGGGAUUAAAAAAGCAAGAAAUAAAUAAAUGUCAUACAGCCGGUCAAGUAGACAGACACAGGCUUUGAUCCAGCUAGCUCUCUACCAUCAAGCCUCCUUACAAGUCACACAUUCUUUAUAUACCUUGGGAUGUCUCAGCCUCCAUAAUCAUUUCUUAUAAUAAAUCAUAUAUAUCUCCCACUGGUUCUGUUUUUCUAAAACCCUGACUAAUACAACACUAAAGACCUUAAGACUCCUGGAUAAUUUUUUUAAUAUGUUUUUGGUUUUAUUUCAUGUACUUUUAUUCUAGGAAAACAUAAAAUUUACUAUCUUAGUCAUUUUAAGUGUACAAUUCAGUUGUGUUAAGUACAUUCACAUUGUUGUGACAUAGAUCUUCAAAACUUUUUCAUCUUGCAAAAUCGAAACUCCAUACCUAGUAAUCAACAACACCAUUUUCCCCUCUUUCUCUAGUCCCUGGUAAUCACUCUCUACUUUCUGUCCCAUUAAUUUAACAACUUUGGAUACUUCAUAUAAGUGGAAUCAUACAGCAUUUGUCUUAUUCUGACUGGCUUAUUUCACUUAGCAUAAUGUCCUCAAGUUUCAUCCAUGUUGUCACAUGUGACAGGAAGUACUUCCUUUUUAAGGCUGAAUGAUAUUUCAUUGCAUAUAUAUAUCACAUUUUUGUCAUUUCAUCCAUGAAUGGACAUUUGAGUUGUUUUCAUGUCUUGGCUGUUUUAUGUAGUAUUGCUAUGAAAAAGGGUGUGCAAAUAUCUCUUUAAAUCUCUGCUUUCAAUCAUUUUAGGUCUAUACCCAAAAACAAAAUUGCUGGAUAAUAUGUUAGUUUUAUUUUUAAUUUUUGGAGGAACCUCCAUACUAUUUUCCGUAGCUGCUGCACCAUUUUAUAGCACUACUAACAGUGCACAAGGGUUUGGAAUUCUCCACAUUCUUGCCAACAUUUAUUUUCUGUUUGUUUUGAUAGUGGCCAUCCUAAUGUAUAUGAGGUAAUAUCUCAUAGUUUUGAUUUUCAUUCCUAUGACGAUUAGUGAUGUUAAGCAUUUUUUUCAUAUGCUCAUUGGCCAUUUGUAUAUCAUCUUUAGAAAAAUGCCUAUUCAGGUUCUUUGCCCAUUUUUAAUUGAGUUAUUUGAUCUUUUGUUGUUGUUGAGUUGUAAGAAUUCUCCAUGUAUUUUGGAUAUUAAACCCUUAUCAGAUAUAUAAUUUGUUCUGGUUUUUAAAAUAAUAACUUUAUUGUUUCUGGAUGUCUUUCUCAUACUAGUUUGGUAGCUCCACGAAGUCUAAGUCUGUUUCUUCUCUGCUCUACACCCAGCACCUAUUAUAAUAACCAGUAGAUAGUAGAUGGCCAGUCAAUGGGGAU